rnacentral:rRNA from 1 species
UACGGAGGGUGCGAGCGUUGUCCGGAAUCAUUGGGCGUAAAGGGCGCGUAGGUGGCGGGACAAGCGUGCGGUGAAAGCUCGGGGCUCAACCCCGGGUCGGCCAUGCAAACUGCGAGGCUGGAGCACUGUAGAGGCAGGCGGAAUUCCGGGUGUAGCGGUGGAAUGCGUAGAGAUCCGGAAGAACACCGGUGGCGAAGGCGGCCUGCUGGGCAGUAGCUGACACUGAGGCGCGACAGCGUGGGGAGCAAACAGG